GUCCAGGAUACCGAUUGACGUCCUCAAUUUAACCCAACCUUAUAGGAAGGGAUCUACCACUGAACUGAACUCAAGGUAGCAUUGAACUCAAGGUAACACUCACUAAGACGAAUCAUUGGACAACCUACUACUUCCUUCCAUGGCACUCAUAAGUAGCCACCAUGGUCGGUAGUGCUGAAUGUUUAUUGUUGUAGAAACUGAAUUUAGAGUUUAGACAUUAAUGCAUAGGUUUUCUGCCCUUGAGCAACAGGCAAGAACAUUGAGUUGUGCAAACAGGGAGUGGGUGCUGAAAGCUUUGAGAGCUAUUUGGUAUACUUUUAACAGCUAGGGCUUUUUGUCUGCUUCUCAAUUUGGCAUCUGCUGGUUACUCUUCCGAUGGGAUGGGAAAUUUUGCCAGACUGAUACGAGGUGUGAUGUGUGCACAAUUGCUCCAGCAAACUUGGAAGCGGAUGAAGGUUUUCUCGGUCAGUUGUUUGCAGCCGUUGGGUGCACAGAAAAUGAAUGCAAAAGCAUCCUGGAGAAAGUCAAGUUUACAGACCAUAUUGUUUCUGCUACUUAAGUGUAUGUAAACGACAAUGAACAGAAAGCUCUUUUAAAUUUCAGCAGGAAAUUGCACAGAAAACAAUGGUUAGGAUCCAUUCCCAACUUGAACAAACUUGGGGUUUGAUUUUACCCCCUUGAUAAAAACAUAAAAUCAAAUCACACCACUGGAUAACUGAAAACACCUAUUUUCCCAGUGCCCACAGUUAAAAGGGCUGCGGACUGGGGCUUCAAAUUCACCAUAGGCCCUCAAUUGCAGGAACCUAGGGAUUUUCCAACUCACCUAUCUAACAGCCACUAAUUUACAGUAGUACAUUAACCCACUUAAAUUAAGCACUAAUUGAGAACAAAACGCCUUUUGCCACAGCUUCUCCAACUUUGAAAAAGUAUGGCACUACACCUAUCUAACUAAGAAAAACCUUUCCUGUAGUCUUCCUUAUUAUUCUUGCUUGCUUCUUCUGCUGGUAAUGUGUAGUUAAAUUACUAGAUGCAAUAUAAAUUAGCAUUUUCUCAAAUUUUUCCCUAAUUAACCCCUCAAAUUAUUUGGAGCACAGAUAGCUUCAACAGACAAUCGCUUCAAAACAUUUGGACAUGGAUCUUGGCCAAAGUUACUGUUGGAUAUGGUGAUUGUACAUCUCUGCUUCCCUAUGCAUUUCUUCUCAACGAUAUUGUAUGAAGCGGGAGCGUGGCAAGGUCCUUGCUGGUAACUCCCACAAGUUCCCAAAGGAGUUCCAAAGCUUGCAAAUUUAAUGGAAGAAAUGGAUUGGCCCGGACUACACCGAAGGUGAACCUUGGGGCUAUGGAACUCUUCUGCUCUUCCAUAGCUCUCAAUGUGCCAAUUCUUAAUAGUUGGAUGAAACUCAGCGACCUCAGCACACACACUGGUCAUUGUUCUCUUCACAAGAGAAAUUCUAGAGGGAUUCCCUCCAAGUUCCUCAAAAACUACCAAGAGAUUUUGGGUUGGCUUCAACCACGACCGAGGCACAUGGUACCAUCGCUGGGUUGGUUGACCACAACCAAGCUGACACUUAAGAGGACGGAAUGUUCCUGCAUAGCUGCACCCAUUGCAAUUACCAGUAGCGUAUGCAGUCCAGUAUCUGCCUAUAGUCUGCCCAUUAAUCCAUAUUUGACCCUUUCCCAUACCCUCCAUGUCCAAAGCCAAUGGCUCAUCCCCAUCAGGUGCAUUGAAAUAGGCCUUAUGCCAUGUUAAUGGUUGCUGUCUUUUUGCAAUUAGUGAUGCUUCCAUCCACCCAACAGAUGAAACACUAUUUGGAGAAACUAGGUUCAUGGCUUCCCCUUUCAACCCAACCUGGUAUGUCCAUUUUUGCCAGGACAAAUCCCAUUUUCCCUGGUCAAGUCCAUGCAGUGCAACUGGACCUAGGAUUCCUGUGUUCCAUGUCUCAAAGUGUCCACCCACAUUCUUCAUAUAAACAAGAUACAUUCAUCAGAAAUUCAAUAAGAAGUGCACAUGACAUUAACUAUCAAAAUUAGACGCAAAUAUGCUCAUAAGAAUUUCAACAUCCUACUGUAGACACGGCUUGAUUCAUGGAACUAGUUUUCUCUUUCCUUUUUUAUUUUCAAGCUAAUUAUUACUGAUAGCCAAACCACACUCAUACGUACAUAAAUUUUUUUUGGUUAACCAGUUUGCUAUAUUUCCAUACAGAAACAUAUAAUAAUAAAAGCAUUUGUCAAUUGGCGUUUUGAGACUCCACUUACUGUUCGUUAAGUGUCCAAUUCAGCUUUACAGAUUGCUGACUUUUACAGUAGGACAUAUUUCCAAUAUUAGAAUAACAAAACCAUCCACAAAUAAUAAAGACAGGGAAGGGAAACUAACUUGCAAUCCAACUGCAACACUCAGCAAUGCAAUUUUGUUUUUUCCAGCACGCAAAUUGACCUUUCCAGUAUAUGUAAACCUCUUAUUCUCCCUUGUCCCAAAGGCAGAACCUGAAAGCUCUCCAUUAACAAAGAUGUGCACAGCAUGGCCUGCUGAUUGAACAAUGAGAGUGGGAAGUUUCCCUCCAUGUAAAAAGGAUUCUGACGAACCAAUAUCAACACUAGUGAUGUACCACAGGUAAUCACUAGCAUCCCUUGUUACAUUUAUCUGCUCCAAGAGACCAAGAGCAGUGAAUGUUGAGCUGUCAUCCAGAGAAGAAAUAUCUUCAUCAUAACUCUCCCAUGAAAGCAUCUCAUCAUUUGCCGGCAACAUUUCCAUUUGAGAUGUUUGAACUCCAACCUUUGCAGUAUUAAAGACCACAUUUCUGCAAUCAGGAAGGAUACUGAUGGACCAAGGAGGCAAGCUAUAAUGCAUGUUAUUGAACAACACCCUUGCAGCAGAUUUUGUAUCAUAGUUUGCAAGAAAAGCUGCACAAUCUCCUGAUUCUGAAGAGUACACAUGCGCCUGUUGAUAGGUCCCUAAUUCCGUCACAAUAGGAUCAGUUGACACUAAAGCUCGCUCACACAUCUUAAUAGACCUAUGGAGCUCCUUUAAAUGACCAUACUUUGGUUGCCUGAUCAAACCAUAUUCAUCUAUUGGGGCAUCAUAGUCAUAGCUGGUUGUAAUGAAUGGGCCUCCAGCAGAGCGUCCAAAAUUGGUUCCUCCAUGGUACAUGUAGUAGUUAACAUAUGACCCACCCUUCUGUAUGAAACGAGCAACUGCAAAUGCCAAAUCUUGAACUGGCCGCUGAUGAAUGGUGCCACCAAAUUCUGUAAACCAGCCACUCCAAGCCUCAGUCCAUAAUGUAGGUUUGUAAGGUUUGUUGGGAGAGAAAGCAUCACAAUAAAAGCCAUUACACGCAUUAAUCACAGGGUCUGGGGCAUCAUCUUCCUUGCACAUCACCCAUGGAACUCCAGUAUUCAGUCCAACAGCCAUUUUUGCAGCCCAAUUUAUAUAUGCAUGACCAGCAGACCCCAGAGCCUUGCUCUCUGGACCAUACUCAUUUUCAAUCUGAGAGAGGAUGAUGGGGCCACCUUGUGAUGCAAAUAGCUUUUCAUUUUUCAUCAUCUCCACAAUUUUUUGGGUGAACCCUUGCAUUGCCACCUUCAAAAACCAAACGGAGAUAACAAUAUUAUUUGUCGUCUUAUAUAUCUCUCCAAUUAUUUUCUCAGAAGUUUUGCUUAUUCUUUUUUCAGCAAAAAGAAAUUUAAAAGCAGAAAUAGAACAAUAUGAACCUUGAAAGGCUCAUUAUCUGUUCUGAAGCUGAUACCGGGAACAUACUUCAACCAAACAGGAAAACCCCUACGCAGUUUAACAGAGACAAGAUCAACCAAAGCAUUUCAUUUUAAGCAGGUUAAAAAACAAAUAUUAACCCCAGGCCCCCCGAAUCAACAAAUUUCAAAGAAGGAAAACAAAAUCCCGUCACUUGUAAAGCAUUUACCCUGCAAUCUAAAAUGAAAAAUAUGUAAUGAAUAUCACAAAAAUUGGGGAGAAACAAAAGGAAAAAUAUUGCAGGUACCCAAAAUUCCAUUCUGCACAAACAUAAGGUCCAAUGCGGAGAUGAGCAUAUAGCCCCACUUUCUGGAUUGUCUUAAUAAACCGUACCAGGUCGUAUCUUCCCUCAAAAUUAUAAUUGCCUGGAGAAGGCUCAUGAACAUCCCAAAAAACGUAAGUGUCAAUAACAUCUAACCCUCCAUCUUUUGCCUUAUGUAUAAGGUCUUCCCACAUUUCAGGAGUGCUUCUGGGAUAGUGAAUGGAGCCGGAGAUGAGGAUUCUCCUUUGACCAUUGAUGAUAAUGGACUUCUUGUCGUAGGUGACACCGCACUGGAUCAGCUCAGAACCCAUAAACAAGGCCAUCAAGAAGAUGGUUAAAGGCUUGGAAACUGAGUUAGUUCCCAUCUCUCUUUCUCUCUCUAUCUACAACUGGGUGGAGGGAAAAUUUGAAAAGAGAACUGAAAUGCGAAGAGAAUCAGUGAUACAAAGAGGAAAGUUAAUGAGCUUCUCUGAAGUCUGAUCUACUACUCUGCUCUGCUAUGCCAUCCGCUAAUGAGCUUGAACUUUACUGGCCAGUGGCCACACCACCACACAAUCUACUGGCUGACUGGCUUUGUAUAAAUGAUUAAUGAUUCUGCUUUUAUAUUCCAUUUUACUCAUUUCUAUUAUAAAAUUAUGCACUUUUAUUUCUGAGGAAAAUUAGAAGGAAAAAGAGAGGCAAUUUUUUUGUAUUAGAUUGUUGAAAUAAAUAAAAAAAUAUAUUGAGUGAUCUUGUCUUCCUAUUAAAUAUAUUUUUUUGGAUGGUGUUGUGGUAGUCUUAUAUUUUUCUACAUAUUUCUUCGAGAAUCCAUAAAUUCACAAGAGAUAGAUAGCAUUUGAUGGUUUCAUAUGGGAAUUUUUAGUUUUAUUUUUAUCUUUAUCGACUUUGAAGGGAUGGACAACAUAACAACAGAUUAAGACAAAAUGAUAAAAGCAAGAACAAUUAAUGCAGCAAAAUUGGAUGCACACUCCAUCCUCACCGCAUGAAUUAAAUUGACAAUAGCUUAAUUCUGAACAAAAACCCAC
rnacentral:misc_RNA from 1 species